UACAGAGGGUGCGAGCGUUAAUCGGAAUUACUGGGCGUAAAGCGUGCGUAGACGGUUAUCUAAGUCGGAUGUGAAAGCCCCGGGCUCAACCUGGGAAUUGCAUUCGAGACUGAAUAGCUAGGGUGCGGUAGAGGGAAGCGGAAUUUCCGGUGUAGCGGUGAAAUGCGUAGAUAUCGGAAGGAACAUCAGUGGCGAAAGCGGCUUCCUGGACCAGUACCGACGUUCAGGCACGAAAGCGUGGGGAGCAAACGGG
rnacentral:rRNA from 1 species